rnacentral:rRNA from 1 species
GUUUGAUCCUGGCUCAGGACGAACGCUGCAGGCGUGCUUAACACAUGCAAGUCGAACGGUAAGGCCCUUCAGGGUACACGAGUGGCGAACGGGUGAGUAACGCGUGAGUAACCUGCCCUUCACUCUGGGAUAACAGUUGGAAACGGCUGCUAAUACCGGAUAUUCAGCUCCUGUCGCAUGGUGGGGGUUGGAAAGUUUUGGUGGUGGAGGAUGGGCUCGCGUCCUAUCAGCUUGUUGGUGGGGUGAUGGCCUACCAAGGCGUCGACGGGUAGCCGGCCUGAGAGGGCGACCGGCCACACUGGGACUGAGAUACGGCCCAAACUCCUACGGGAGGCAGCAGUGGGGAAUAUUGCACAAUGGGCGGAAGCCUGAUGCAGCAACGCCGCGUGCGGGAUGACGGCCUUCGGGUUGUAAACCGCUUUCAGCAGGGACGAAGCGUGAGUGACGGUACCUGCAGAAGAAGCACCGGCUAACUACGUGCCAGCAGCCGCGGUGAUACGUAGGGUGCGAGCGUUGUCCGGAUUUAUUGGGCGUAAAGAGCUUGUAGGCGGUUGGUUGCGUCGAAAGUGCAAACUCAGGGCUUAACUCUGAGCCUGCUUUCGAUACGGGCUGACUGGAGGAAGGUAGGGGAGAAUGGAAUUCCCGGUGGAGCGGUGGAAUGCGCAGAUAUCGGGAGGAACACCAGUGGCAAAGGCGGUUCUCUGGACCUUUCCUGACGCUGAGAAGCGAAAGCGUGGGGAGCAAACAGGCUUAGAUACCCUGGUAGUCCACGCUGUAAACGGUGGGUACUAGGUGUGGGGGACAUUCCACGUUCUCUGUGCCGUAGCUAACGCAUUAAGUACCCCGCCUGGGGAGUACGGCCGCAAGGCUAAAACUCAAAGGAAUUGACGGGGCCCCGCACAAGCGGCGGAGCAUGCGGAUUAAUUCGAUGCGACGCGAAGAACCUUACCAAGGCUUGACAUGUACCGGAAACAUCCAGAGAUGGGUGCCCCGUAAGGUCGGUGCACAGGUGGUGCAUGGUUGUCGUCAGCUCGUGCCGUGAGGUGUUAGGUUAAGUCCUGUAACGAGCGCAACCCUCGGGGCCAGUUACACGGUGUCUGGUCCGACUGCCCGCGAUAAGCCGGGAGGAAGGUGGGGAUGACGUCAAGUCAGCAUGGCCUUUAUGCCCAGGGCUACACACACGCUACAAUGGCCGGUACAAUGGGUCGCCAAGCCGCAAGGCGGAGCCAAUCCAGACAAAGCCGGUCCCAGUUCGGAUUGUGGGCUGCAACCCGCCCACAUGAAGUCGGAGUUGCUAGUAACCGCCGGUCAGCCAUACGGCGGUGAAUACGUUCCCGGGCCUUGUACACACCGCCCGUCACGUCAUGGGAGCUGGUCACGCCUGAAGCCAGCGGGCUAACCGCAAGGAGGCAGCCGUCUAAGGUGGGGCCGGUGACUGGGACGAAGUCGUAACAAGGUAGCCG